rnacentral:rRNA from 1 species
GAGUUACGCGUGGAUAACCUGCCCUUGAAUCUGGGAUAACCCCGUGAAAACGGGGCUAAUACCGGAUAUUGUCCUUAGAACUGUGGUUUAUAGGAUGAAAGGUGACCUAUUCAUGAAAGUUGUCGUUUAGGGAGGGGUCCGCGUACCAUUAGCUUGUUGGUGGGGUAAUGGCCUACCAAGGCGACGAUGGUUAGCUGGUCUGAGAGGAUGAUCAGCCACACUGGAACUGAAACACGGUCCAG